rnacentral:rRNA from 1 species
ACACCGGCAGCUCAAGUGGUAGCCGCUUUUAUUGGGCCUAAAGCGUCCGUAGCCGGUCUGAUAAGUCUCUGGUGAAAUCCCACAGCUUAACUGUGGGAAUUGCUGGAGAUACUAUCAUGACUCGAGGUCGGGAGAGGCUGGAGGGACUCCCAGGGUAGGGGUGAAAUCCUGUAAUCCUGGGAGGACCACCUGUAGCGAAGGCGUCCAGCUGGAACGAACCUGACGGUGAGGGACGAAAGCUAGGGGCGCGAACCGGAUUAGAUACCCGGGUAGUCCUAGCCGUAAACGAUGCGGACUUGGUGUUGGGAUGGCUUUGAGCCGCUCCGGUGCCGAAGGGAAGCUGUUAAGUCCGCCGCCUGGGAAGUACGGUCGCAAGACUGAAACUUAAAGGAAUUGGCGGGG